rnacentral:rRNA from 1 species
AGGUGGCGGACGGGUGAGUAACGCGGUGGGUAACCUGCCUUGUACGUGGGGGACAACAGUUGGAAACGACUGCUAAUACCGCAUAAGCGCACAGCUUCGCAUGAAGCAGUGUAGAAAACUCCGGUGGUACAAGAUGGACCCGCGUCUGAUUAGCUGGUUGGUGAGGUAACGGCCCACCAAGGCGACGAUCAGUAGCCGGCCUGAGAGGGUGAACGGCCACAUUGGGACUGAGACACGGCCCAAACUCCUACGGGAGGCAGCAGUGGGGAAUAUUGCACAAUGGGGGAAACCCUGAUGCAGCAACGCCGCGUGAGUGAAGAAGUAUUUCGGUAUGUAAAGCUCUAUCAGCAGGGAAGAAAAUGACGGUACCUGACUAAGAAGCCCCGGCUAACUACGUG